GCCUGGGUGGCUCAGUCGGUUGAGCGUCUGACUUCGACUCAGGUCAUGAUAUCGCGGUCCGUGAGUUCGAGCCCCACGUCGGGCU
rnacentral:tRNA from 1 species